rnacentral:tRNA from 1 species
CGGCGAGUGGCGGAAAGGCAGACGCGCCGGGUUUAGGUUCCGGUGGAGAGAUCCGUGGGGGUUCGACUCCCCCCUCGUCGACCA